GAUGAACGCUGGCGGCGUGCCUAAUACAUGCAAGUCGAGCGAACAGUCGAGGAGCUUGCUCCUCUGACGUUAGCGGCGGACGGGUGAGUAACACGUGGAUAACCUACCUAUAAGACUGGGAUAACUUCGGGAAACCGGAGCUAAUACCGGAUAAUAUAUUGAACCGCAUGGUUCAAUAGUGAAAGACGGUUUUGCUGUCACUUAUAGAUGGAUCCGCGCCGCAUUAGCUAGUUGGUAAGGUAACGGCUUACCAAGGCAACGAUGCGUAGCCGACCUGAGAGGGUGAUCGGCCACACUGGAACUGAGACACGGUCCAGACUCCUACGGGAGGCAGCAGUAGGGAAUCUUCCGCAAUGGGCGAAAGCUUGACGGAGCAACGCCGCGUGAGUGAUGAAGGUCUUCGGAUCGUAAAACUCUGUUAUUAGGGAAGAACAAAUGUGUAAGUAACUAUGCACGUCUUGACGGUACCUAAUCAGAAAACCACGGCUAACUACGU
rnacentral:rRNA from 1 species